GCUUAACACAUGCAAGUCGAGGGGCAGCACAGGUAGCAAUACCGGGUGGCGACCGGCGCACGGGUGAGUAACGCGUAUGCAACUUGCCUAUCAGAGGGGGAUAACCCGGCGAAAGUCGGACUAAUACCGCAUGAAGCAGGGGCCCCGCAUGGGGAUAUUUGCUAAAGAUUCAUCGCUGAUAGAUAGGCAUGCGUUCCAUUAGGCAGUUGGCGGGGUAACGGCCCACCAAACCGACGAUGGAUAGGGGUUCUGAGAGGAAGGUCCCCCACAUUGGUACUGAGACACGGACCAAACUCCUACGGGAGGCAGCAGUGAGGAAUAUUGGUCAAUGGGCGCGAGCCUGAACCAGCCAAGUCGCGUGAGGGAUGAAGGUUCUAUGGAUCGUAAACCUCUUUUAUAAGGGAAUAAAGUGCGGGACGUGUCCCGUUUUGUAUGUACCUUAUGAAUAAGGAUCGGCUAACUCCGUGCCAGCAGCCGCGGUAAUACGGAGGAUCCGAGCGUUAUCCGGAUUUAUUGGGUUUAAAGGGUGCGUAGGCGGCCUUUUAAGUCAGCGGUGAAAGUCUGUGGCUCAACCAUAGAAUUGCCGUUGAAACUGGGAGGCUUGAGUAUGUUUGAGGCAGGCGGAAUGCGUGGUGUAGCGGUGAAAUGCAUAGAUAUCACGCAGAACCCCGAUUGCGAAGGCAGCCUGCCAAGCCAUUACUGACGCUGAUGCACGAAAGCGUGGGGAUCAAACAGGAUUAGAUACCCUGGUAGUCCACGCAGUAAACGAUGAUCACUAGCUGUUUGCGAUACAUUGUAAGCGGCACAGCGAAAGCGUUAAGUGAUCCACCUGGGGAGUACGCCGGCAACGGUGAAACUCAAAGGAAUUGACGGGGGCCCGCACAAGCGGAGGAACAUGUGGUUUAAUUCGAUGAUACGCGAGGAACCUUACCCGGGUUUGAACGCAUUCGGACCGAGGUGGAAACACCUUUUCUAGCAAUAGCCGUUUGCGAGGUGCUGCAUGGUUGUCGUCAGCUCGUGCCGUGAGGUGUCGGCUUAAGUGCCAUAACGAGCGCAACCCUUGCCACUAGUUACUAACAGGUAAAGCUGAGGACUCUGGUGGGACUGCCAGCGUAAGCUGCGAGGAAGGCGGGGAUGACGUCAAAUCAGCACGGCCCUUACAUCCGGGGCGACACACGUGUUACAAUGGCGUGGACAAAGGGAAGCCACCUGGCGACAGGGAGCGAAUCCCCAAACCACGUCUCAGUUCGGAUCGGAGUCUGCAACCCGACUCCGUGAAGCUGGAUUCGCUAGUAAUCGCGCAUCAGCCAUGGCGCGGUGAAUACGUUCCCGGGCCUUGUACACACCGCCCGUCAAGCCAUGGGAGCCGGGGGUACCUGAAGUCCGUAACCGCGAGGAUCGGCCUAGGGUAAAACUGGUGACUGGGGCUAAGUAGU
rnacentral:rRNA from 1 species